rnacentral:lncRNA from 1 species
GGUGGAACAACUUCAAGGCAGUACUACCAAAUGCCCUGACAAGAUGCCAGGCAAACAUCUUACUACAGUCCAUUCAUUUUUUAGGUGGUAUAUAAACUGGGCUAAGGUACACUCAGAUUUUAGAUGAGCCAAAACAUGAGCAGGAAAAGCAGAAAAAGAGAAGAUCAGAGUGAAGUGGUGAAAGGGAAAGGUAAAAAAAGUAAGUGGAAGACAAAGAGGAUGAGUAUCUGUUGUGGUCCUUCAGGGAAAAGGGCUACUGAUCACAUGACCAACCUCUACCUUCUAAGAGAUGUACAUGGAACCAUGGAGGAGUUGCUCCCAAAACCUGCGAGAGACAGAUCUAUGUGGUGCAAAAAGGUGGACGGUGGCAGAUCUAGAAAUGUGCUGCUUAGAAUUUCUUCAAAAGAACUCACUACAGGAAGCCCAGUUGACUGGCAGUCCUAGAUGCCACCCCUCUGGAUUCACCACUACAUUAGCUGCAAGGCCCCAGGGCUGCUCCCUGCCUUGGACAGCACAGUGAUGAUAUGAGUGCAAGCACAACACAAACUCCUCUGGCUGGCAACUUUGGCCUAAGGACUCCCCAUCAGCCUGGCCCAACCUUCUGUAGGACUGCACCAACAGUCUGAGAUUCCUCUUACCCAAUCCUCCUUCCUUCCAUCUCUUACCACAGGUGUUAGGUUUAUGGAAGUCUGAAGGCUCUUCCUGCCUACUCCUACUCCCUCCGCUUUGUCCUACACAAGUGAGUUCCUCCAAUAAAUUUCUUGCAUGUCUAAUACCAUCUAGUCAUCUGUUUCUUGAAGGACUCAAACUGACAGAGGAGCUCACAUUUAUGGAUCAGUAUUUGCAUAUUCUUUGAAACCACACCCAAACUAACAGCAAUAUAGGUGCACAAGUGAACUUGGUUCACCCUAAAAAUCAAGUAAUUUGAGUUCUACAAUAGAUCAUCAGGCUGGGCAUGGUGGCUUACAC